GUGAAUCAUCGAAUUUUUGAACGCAUAUUGCACUCUCUGGUAUUCCGGAGAGUAUGCCUGUUUGAGGGUAAUUAAAAAGAAUCUCUUACCUGUUUUUUGUUGUCAAAGGAAAUGAGCUCUCCGCGUUUAUAGCGGUAUCUUGAAAUGAAUGGUCAAGACUCAUUUUAGUCGAGACGCGUAAUAAUAUUAUCUCGCGAAAUCUUCAUUAUGUGACUAUCAAGUUUUUAUACAUACAAAUCUGCUUUGUAUGCGAUCAUUACAAAUAUUUUGCACAUUACCUCAAAUCAGGUAUGAGU
rnacentral:misc_RNA from 1 species